CUGUGGUACAUAGGGAAGCAGGCUAC
rnacentral:piRNA from 1 species